AAGUCGUAACAAGGUUUCCGUAGGUGAACCUGCGGAAGGAUCAUUAUCACGUAUCCAAACGUAUAAACCAAUGUGCACCUCUAUCAUUCCUCCUUUCUAGGGUUUCAUGAAGUGGCAGAGAAGUUGAUAUUCCGAUUCAUGGUCUUUCGGAAUUCUCUGUCGUGACUCUCGCAAGAGAGUCAGCCUUCUAAUCCGGGAGUCGUAUCAAACCAUGCUUGUUUUACUAUUAACAACUUGUACCUUUCUGAACUAACUUUGGUUGGGAAACUUUUUUGAUCUCUCUCUCGCGAGAGAGUGACACAAGUCCUAACCUUGAUUUAUACAAACUCUGAACUACUCUUAACAACGGAUAUCUUGGUUCUC
rnacentral:misc_RNA from 1 species